rnacentral:rRNA from 1 species
GAUUGAACGCUGGCGGCAUGCUUUACACAUGCAAGUCGAACGGCAGCACGGGGGCAACCCUGGUGGCGAGUGGCGAACGGGUGAGUAAUGCAUCGGAACGUGUCUUCGAGUGGGGGAUAACGCACCGAAAGGUGUGCUAAUACCGCAUAAUCUCUACGGAGAAAAGCAGGGGACCGCAAGACCUUGCGCUCAUUGAGCGGCCGAUGCCUGAUUAGCUAGUUGGUGAGGUAAAGGCUUACCAAGGCGACGAUCAGUAGCUGGUCUGAGAGGACGACCAGCCACACUGGGACUGAGACACGGCCCAGACUCCUACGGGAGGCAGCAGUGGGGAAUUUUGGACAAUGGGGGAAACCCUGAUCCAGCCAUGCCGCGUGAGUGAAGAAGGCCUUCGGGUUGUAA